GAUGAACGCUAGCGGCAGGCCUAAUACAUGCAAGUCGAACGGCCCGCUUCGGCGGAUAGUGGCGCACGGGUGCGUAACACGUAUGCAACCUACCUUACAUUGGGGGAUAGCCUUUCGAAAGGGAGAUUAAUACCGCAUAAGACAGUAGCUGGGCAUCCAGUAGCUGUUAAAGAUUUAUCGAUGUAAGCUGGGCAUGCGUCCAAUUAGUUAGUUGGUGAGGUAACGGCUCACCAAGACGAUGAUUGGUAGGGGAACUGAGAGGUCAAUCCCCCACACUGGAACUGAGAUACGGGCCAGACUCCUACGGGAGGCAGCAGUAGGGAAUAUUGGGCAAUGGACGCAAGUCUGACCCAGCCAUGCCGCGUGCAGGAAGAAGGCGUUCUGCGUUGUAAACUGCUUUUAUAUAGGAAGAAACGACCCUUGCGAGGGGCAUCGACGGUAUUAUAUGAAUAAGCACCGGCUAACUCCGUGCCAGCCGCCGCAGUAAUAC
rnacentral:rRNA from 1 species